CGAAGUCGGUGGGGUAACCUUUUGGAGCCAGCCGCCUAAGGUGGGACAGAUGAUUGGGGUGAAGUCGUAACAAGGUAGCCGUAUCGGAAGGUGCGGCUGGAUCACCUCCUUUCUAUGGAGA
rnacentral:rRNA from 2 species